rnacentral:snRNA from 1 species
AUACUUACCUGGCACGGGAGAUACCAUGAUCAUGAAAUUGGUUUUCCCAGGGUGAGGCUCAUCCAUUGCACUUUGGGUGUGCUGAUCCCUGUGAUUUCCCCUGGUCUUUCUAGAAUCACUCUUUCCCCUUCAGUCCUUGGCUGUUUUCACUGCCC